UGAUACAUUUUGCAGCCCAUGGUAAUGCUGACCGAGGAGAAAUUGCCCUUUCUCCGGUACGCCCCUCUGACAGGACGCCAGAAGAAGAAGAUUACCUUUUGAGGAUGUCGGACAUUGCACAAGUUGAAUUGCGAGCUAAGCUGGUAAUACUUAGCUGUUGCCAUAGUGCGUGUGGGCAGAUUAGAACCGAAGGAGUCAUUGGAAUCGCUCGAGCGUUCAUAGGAUCCGGUGCACGGUCCGUUUUGGUGGCUCUAUGGGCCAUAAGUGACGAAGCAACAGAGCAGCUGAUACUUGAAUUCUACGAGCAUCUUGUUCGUGGUGAGAGUGCCAGUGAAUCUCUUCACCAGGCCAUCAAGUGGAUGAGAGGUAACGGCUUUGACAGGGUUUCUGAGUGGGCACCAUUUAUGCUGAUUGGAGAUAACGUGACUUUUGACUUUGGAAAAUAAGAGCUUGCUUUGCACCAGGAUCAUACCCGGAGUCUGACAUUGAAAUUCAAGAUGCCGCCCAGCUGUUCCCCGAAUACAGACACAGUUUGAAUCAAAGAGACGAUUUAAUUUGUGCAAGGAGUACCUCCGUGACAAGACUGGUUAAUGCGAAACGAAAGUAGUAGAAAUGAUCAGUCAGUAGUCAGUAGUCAGUAGCAAAUCAGGAUAUAUUUCUAUCCUUUACCGGUUAUGUCAAAAACUGAGGAACCCCCAGAUCUCGAGGUUGCUCAUGCUCUUCAAGUCCCAAUGUAUCCCUGGUAGGGGUGGUGUCUACAAGCUCCCUGCCUUCAAAGCAACUUGUUCUCUACCCAACGUCACCCAAGAUUUCUAUAUUAAACGGUUCUCUGCUAUUUAGAAACUACCAAACAAUUUUUUUCCAUAUACAAAGGCUCUAAGUCUAUCUAGGACCAUCUGUCAAUGAUUUACGUGGCAGAGGCAUGGCAGUAGAAACUAGAGUGAGCUUAAAAUAAACUAUCGUCGAUUAUAAUUAUCGCAAACUUCUUGGCGCCGGUUAAUCAUGUAAAUGACAGUUGAUGAUAGUUAGGGAAACUAUUUAUUUUUCUCGAAGUAUCAUUGACUAAGAUGCACCGUGCGACCAGAGCACAGAACUUUGACUUCAUUUUUUAGUGUUUAAGUAGCUUCAAGUACAAGUUCAG